UGCAAUUGAUCCAUUGCGGCUUACUGUAGGUUUUUGGGAGCUUGGUUUAUCAGGUUACGAAGCGGAUGAAAUCUUAUAUCGGGAUUUUGGAAUUGUUUGUGAACUCGUUGGGAAUAAAUCUAUCACUUAUGCACUUAAUCUUGGAACCUGUAGGGACCAUGUCCAAAGGCUUUUAUCGGGAAUAAAGCAUCUAGCUGCAACAUAUCCUUCCAUUCAGCAACCUAAAGACGAAGUACUUACUGAACACACACCCUUUGAUGAUAUAAUCACAAGCUUGACCCCCAGAGAUGCAUUUUUUGCAAGCAAAAGAAAAGUAACGAUAAAGGAGAGCAUUGGUAAGGUUUCGGGGGAGCUUAUUUGUCCAUAUCCUCCAGGCAUACCUGUAUUGAUUCCCGGUGAGGUUAUUACUGAGAGAGCCGUCAAUUAUCUACUCCAUGUAAGAAGCAAAGGUGCUGAUAUUAGUGGAGCAUCUGAUCCCUUACUUUCUUCUAUAGUUGUCUGCAAUGUACAUAAAAAACAGCUGGUCUCAUAAUAAUUGAGAAAUAUUUCACACAGCUGAAGAAACUCUUAGGUAUUUAUUCAACUAACUAAUGCUAGCAAUGGCUGUUGAUGUAGGUAGAUUUUCUCUAAUUGGAAUGGAUUGAAAUAAAAGAGCCAUUCUGAAUUUUGUCUAGUGAAAAUCUUCCAGAUUUCAAUGCUUUAGAUAUGGGUCAGAGUCAUUGGAAAAGAAAUGUCUUAAGUAAUGUCACUGUUCUGUUUAAAAUGACUCCUUAUUGGAUAUUUAAAUAUUUGGCAGAAAUCGCCACCUCAUUGUUUCAUGGUAUUUCAACGUGAAAAACCAAAAGUUACAAAUUGUAGCUUUAGAAGUGUGUUAACAAUCCACCCACUGCCAAAACAAACACAUGCUAAGUUGAUCUUUAGUUGACAGAUUUACAGAAUUCUAAGUUGACGGUUUCAUGAUAUUCUGGCAAUUUUGUUUUUGUUUUUGUAGAUAGACGAAAUGACAAAGCCAUUAUAAACUCACACACAUAAGUGGAGGUACCGGGGUUCGAACCCCGAUCAUGGCAUCCGGCCUAACAAUUUCGGCAUUUUGCUAGUUGAGCUAGAAUUUUUUGAUAAUUAUUUUGUUUAUUUUAUUUAUAACUUCUCAUUGAUUUGUGUUAAAUGACUUAAUAUUUGGAAGACCGAUGAAGCACUACCUCGUUUCUUUAUUAAUUUUUUGGUUUUUUCGCGCGUUAUCUUCAUCUGAGGUAAUCGUAUUUAAGACCAACAAACACAAAAUGCGAGCAUCUCUUACAAAUAUAAUUUAAAUCCUGGUUCAUCAUAUUGUUGAAAUCUAACUCCAUUCAAAUAUGAUGGUACUUCAUUCUCUUAUUAUAAUCCUACUUUGUUUGACAUAUAUAUACACAUUAAAAAAUAGAAAAAGUUCGUUGGACAAUUCAAAAGUUGUUUGACACCAUAUUUUUAAACUGUUGUUAAUUUAAUAAUAAUGUUUUUCUUUCUUAUAGUUUUUUUUUUAAGGAAUUUCUUAUAGUUAAAGUAACACUUUCUUUCAAAAAAUCACUUAUUUUAUGUGUCUUUCUGUAUUGUUGUUGAAAAAGUUGUCUUAUUUUUUGUAUUUUAUUUUAAAGAGGGCCGAAACUCGUACAAAAGUAGGUAUCAUAUUUUGAUUUUGAUUGUUGCAAUAUCACCCAUCAUUAAGAAAGUAGGUAUCAUAUUUAAUGUGUUUAUGAAUGUUGUUAAAAUACCAUUUUAUCUAUAGAGAUAUAUUGAUCUUUGAAUUUUUCUUUCUAAGAAAGUAACUAUUUAUUGACAGCUAGGCAAGUAGAGUUGAUAGUGAAAGAAAAAGCAAAGAAUAAUCUUGUGGCUGAUUUUGAAACGUACUAUAAAUUCAAUAGUGAGCUGUCCAAAAAAUGAAUUAAAUAGUGUAAAAUGGCAGUGAGGAAAGGCCUUUCUUUCCCGCUCAAAAACAGACAAUCCGUGUUGACACGAGGGGGGACAGGAGGGAGGGCAUGUCUUCUUAAUACAGUUAGUUGGUAACACUGAUGAAGAUAAGAUUAGUUUAGUCCUUUAAGGAAAACAAGAUCCAAAGCAACCGUAGCAAGAAGCUGUGGAAGAAGAAGAAAAUGGUGUAUUCUUCACUUCCACUUCCAGUACUCUCAUUCCCUUUCAUUCCCAAAAGGAGGCCAAAAUGCUUUUCUGUAAGCCCUUCACUUUUUUCAUUUACUUAUUUUCCUAUCACAUUGCUUCUUAAUUUUGGAAGCAAUAAAAUGGUGUAUGCUUCACUUUCACUAUCACUUCUCAUCUUCAUUUUCCUUUGCAAACCAUUCCUCUCAGCUGGUCCCCCUUCACUUCCUAUUUAAUUUUUAUGCAUUUUCUAAAUAAAAAUUUCCAUUGUUUCCUUGGAUUCUUCUUAUUUUUUCUCCCUAUACAAUAAUGAACUGUUUUAUCUCACAACAAUGGACUAAUUUUACCACGAUAUCAUAGAUUUUAAAUAGUAAUAUUAUGACAAUAAAAUUGGUUAAAUACGAUUAGAGAAAUAGCAAGUUAACUAGGAAAGAAAUGUAAAACUACGUUCUCUUCUUCUUAUUUAAACUCUAGUGUUGAGUUUGUUCGGAGACAAGCAAAUGAGGCUCCUCAUGCUCUUGUAGAGGUGGCCACAUUUUCAGCAAGUGUCUGAAUACUAGUUGAUAUACCAUAUUGUAUUGAACAUAUCUUGAUUAAUGGUAUGCUAUAACCAUCCUUUGUCAAAAAAGCUAAGGGGUCAAGGUGGUCUAAAUUUUUUGAUUUCAAACGUUAAAUAUAAAAACUAAACAUGUUCGGAUAAAAUGGAGUUGAAACAAUUUUUCAAUUUUUUCGUUUUUGUUUUAAUGUAACUUGUCACUACUAGUGGUCGCCGACUACCACCACUGCUCCUGAUCAACACUCCAUCCACCUUUGAACACCACCAUCAACCACUCCGACCAUCAUCAAACCACUACUCUGGCCACCGUCGAUCACCACUCUAAAAGCCGUAUGCAGAUAACCUCCACUUUCAACUACUAUUAUUAAAAUUACCAUUAAAUAAAUAAAUUAAAUGUUUCUAAUAUUUUAAUGGUAUGAAUCGCUUUGAUAAAGACAUGUUUAUGAUGAAUAUUAUGUUUAUCUUGAUGCUUUAAACUGGUUUGGGUUUUGAAAAAUUUCAUAACUCAAAACUGGUUUGGCUCUAGAAUGUGCUAUACAAGUACAUUCAACUCUUGGGUAAAAAGAUAGCACUUAAUAUUGAUGUUUGGUGCAGUCCAAUACAAUUAGACAUUUUUAGUGUAUAUAAUUAUGAUUUUAAAUGGAGUUUAAUUGAGGUAAUAAGGUUAGCCAAGCCUGAAAUAAAAUGAAAUGUUGUCUAUCCAUUAGUAUUUCCUCAUUUUGACCUACACGUUCCUUCACUGCACCGGGUUUUGUCAGGCAGUAGCAGUUCUUUAAAUUACUAUUUUACAGGAAAGAAGCACUGCACUACAAGAAUACGAGCAAGAGGAGAGCAUUGGGACAGUGAAUACUGCAUCAAUCACGAACAACACCGUUUUGUUCAGCAAUUCACCAGUGCUUCAGCAGAGUGGCCUACCUCCUCUAGUCAGUGCAUUGAAAGCCUCAGCUGAAGAAAAUGCUGCCAGCUUUCACUUUCCAGGACACAACAGAGGCCAUGCCGCUCCUUCUUCGUUGACUCAACUCAUUGGAGUAAGACCAUAUGCUCAUGAUUUGUCUAGCAUUCCAGAGCUUGACAACCUCUUUUGUCCCCAAGGGCCCAUAUUAGAAGCACAAAGAGAAGCAUCCAAACUGUUCGGAUCAUCAGAGACAUGGUUUCUUGUCAACGGUACUACUUGUGGAGUCCAGGCAGCAAUAAUGGCAACCUGUUCACCGGGAGAAUAUCUGAUUCUUCCUAGGAAUUCUCAUUUAUCAGCUAUAUCUGCCAUGGUUUUAUCUGGUGCAUCGCCUAAGUACAUUAUUCCUGACUAUAAAAAUGAUUGGGACAUCGCUGGUGGCGUCACUCCAUUACAGGUGAUUCAGAUAUCAUACACUAACAUAUUGUGGCUAAAUUUGCAAUUUUCUUUUUUUUAAUGGCAACAAAUUUGCGAAAAAUUGAUGGUAAAGGAAAUUGGUAUGCUGGCGUAGCAGUUGAUACGUUAUAUAAUUGUAAAAAAUUCAUCCAUAAAGCAAUCUAAAUAGAUUUUCUAAUUCUGACACGGAAGAUGAGUUUCUUAUGAUUUCCUGAUUAAGUGAUUUUUUACUGUCCUCAAAAUUGGUAUUAGAUAUUCUCUUCAGAUUCAACUCUUCUGGUAAUCCUAUUUAAUGUUGUUCUCUCUUUGUUUCUGCUGGUGGAAUCGAUGGUUGUUGUUGCAGGUAUUGAAUGCUAUCCAGGAACUAGAAUUGGAAGGAAAGAAAGCAGCAGCAGUUUUCAUCACUUCACCUACUUACCAUGGUGUUUGCAGUAACUUGAGUGAUAUUUCUGCUUUGUGUCAUUCUCGUAAAAUUCCUUUGAUUGUUGAUGAAGCUCAUGGAGCACAUCUAGGAUUACAUUCUGAACUGCCUAGCUCAGCCCUCCAGCAAGGGGCUGAUCUAACUGUACAAUCUACUCACAAGGUUCUUUCCUCUCUUACUCAAUCGUCUAUGCUGCACAUGUCGGGCGACAUUGUAGAUAAGGAAAAAAUAUCUAGGUGUCUCCAAACACUGCAAAGCACAAGUCCUAGUUACCUUCUUUUGGCAUCCCUAGAUGCUGCUAGAGCUCAACUUAGUGAAAGCCCUGCUAUUGUAUUUAAACAAGCGAUUGAAUUAGCAAAUGAAGCAAAGUUUUUGCUAAAACGAAUCCCUGGCGUCUCAGUGCUUGAGAAUUCAAGCUUUCCAAAUUUUCCCGCAUUUGAUCCAUUCCGGCUUACUGUAGGCUUUUGGGAGCUUGGUUUAUCAGGUUACCAAGCAAAUGAAAUCUUAUGCAGGGAUUUUGGAAUCGUCCGUGAGCUUGUUGGGUAUAAAUCUAUCACUUAUGUACUUAAUCUUGGAACUUGUAGAGACCAUGUCCAAAGGCUUUUAUUGGGAGCAAAGCAUCUAGCUGCAGUAUAUUCUUCCAUUCAGCAACGUAAAGACAAAGUACUUACUGAUCAUGCACCCUUUGAUGAUAUAAUCAUGAGCUUGACACCUAGAGAUG
rnacentral:lncRNA from 1 species